CUCUCCUCUUUUCUUCUUCUCUCUCUCUUGGCUGCAGGUCUGAACUGUGUCAGAAUGAACAGAUGAUCCUCCGUCACAAACUCCCGCAGCAUGAAGUGAUGAAUCAAUCAGCGAAAAACUUGUCAGUCUUCAUCCUAAAGUGGAUUUAAAGACACAGUUAUAGGUGAAAAAAAAGAAAACAUUUUAGUAGACUAAAAUCAUUUUUUCUGUUUUUUUUUUUUAAAACAAAUUAAGUUUUCAGUUUGCAGAUUCUCAAUAUUCUUAAAAGAAGAAGAGUGUAGGGAUGAUUUUGUUAACUUAGCGAUGUUCAGGGAUCCCUGUUUAAUGCUUUAAAACAUUAAGAAACACUUACAGGAAGACAUGUACGUGUUGUCAGGUUUGUGUUGCUAAAGUGUGCAGUUUUUAUGAGAUGAUUUUGAUAACUCACAGAUGUCGUUUAAAACGGAGGUAGACCGGACAAGAGCUAAAAAGCCGGGUCAACAUAAACGAUGGGGGACGCUUGGGGAUCUUGGUGACCCUGUAACCUUUCUGCUGGACAGGUAAACCGCUUUAACAAAGUAAGACAAGUGUCUGUAACAGAAGUGUUUCUUGUCAAACGGACCUGCUGUAGCGUGUUGUAGCGCCAUCGCUAAACUGUCCUCCCUCGGGUCCUGGACUAUGUCAC